UGUGAUGAUCUUAGAAGUACAGUAUUUAAUGAAAUCUUUUUUAUAAAGUAUUGUACCUGUAGUCUUUGUGCUUUUUGUAGAUCUGAGGCAUGCCAAGUUUCACCUAAUUAGAAGGAGGUCAGUCAUUCCAGAACUGAAAGCGGUUUUCUGGAUUAUCUCCAUAAAAAACAACACUGGAUAACUUAACUGAAUAAAUACACUAGAAAAUUGAAGCAAAGCAGGGCAAGAAUUCUUUCUAUUCUCAAGAAGAUGAAAAAGUGGCCUAAAAAAUACUGCUGAUCAUCUGUGCCAGAUUAGACGAAUAGCCUACAUGCAGGUGAGAAAGCACAGGACAGCUGAAGAAAUUAAGAGUAAUCUUCAGUUACAGGGAGGCUACUUACAGAUGGAUUUCCGCCACAACAUAAGAAGCAGUGGCAGUGGUUGAACAGAACCUUUCUUUACAAUGGAAGUUAAUGUUCUUCAGCUUUGGCUAAUUUUGAAAUCAAGGAGACUCCUUAGCAAAAUAAAAAUCAUAAAAAUGUUUAUUAAACCAACUAAAACAUAUAA